CUUCUACCAUAUCCCGAUUCGCUGCAUUCUGGUUCAUCAUCAAGUCCUGUGAUGGAGCAAAAUAAUGAAGACGUGGAACAAUUGAACUACAACGAAAAAAGAACAGAUGAGAUGAGUGAAGAAGAGAUAGAAAUGAUAGAAGAUGAUGGCAAUGAAGGAGGACAGCAAUUAGAUGGAGAUGGAGGAGCUUUAGGUUCUGGCUUUAUAUAUUCGAGCUUGUUGAAGUAUUAGAUUCUGCCUUGUAUUGUCAUUUGGCAUGGUUUGUCGAAUUGAAGAUGAUAAAUCAGGGAAUGUGUAUCUUCUUUUAUUAGGCUAAA